AUUGAACGCUGGCGGCAGGCCUAACACAUGCAAGUCGAACGAGUGGCGGACGGGUGAGUAAUGUCUGGGAAACUGCCUGAUGGAGGGGGAUAACUACUGGAAACGGUAGCUAAUACCGCAUACCCUCGGAUGUGCCCAGAUGGGAUUAGCUAGUAGGUGGGGUAAAGGCUCACCUAGGCGACGAUCCCUAGCUGGUAUGAGAGGAUGCACAGUCACACUGGAACGGAGACACGGUCCAGACUCCUACGGGAGGCAGCAGUGGGGAAUAUUGCACAAUGGGCGCAAGCCUGAUGCAGCCAUGCGGCGUGUAUGAAGAAGGCCUUCGGGUGGUAAAGUACGUUCAGCUGGGAGGCGUGACCCGCAGAAGAAGCACCGGCUAACUCCGUGCCAGCAGGCGCGGUAAUAC
rnacentral:rRNA from 1 species